AUACAUCAGGAGCCGUUCUUCACUUUCCUGCUCUGACCCUGAGGGAUUCUGGGAAUUACACCUGCACUUGGAAAACCAGCACGACAUCAGGAUCUAAAACCAUCAGCCUUCAGGUCGAGGAUGUUCUCACUCAGGACAGUGACUGGAGAGUGAAAUAUCCUGAUAAUCAGAUCUGUGCUGUGAGAGGAUUCAGUGUCUCCAUUCCCUGUAGUUAUUAUUAUCCAACAUCAAAUCCCAUUCAGGAGACCCUGGAGUUACUCUACAAGUUACAGAUUUAAAGGUGUCACUAAUCAGACUCAGU